rnacentral:rRNA from 1 species
UAGCUUAUUGAUUUUUAUAAUAAGUUUUUUCUGCCCAGUGCAUUUUUAGUGUAAAUGGCCGCGGUAUCCUGACCGUGCAAAGGUAGCAUAAUCACUUGUCUUUUAAUUGGGGACUAGUAUGAAUGAAAGCUUGAGGCUUUAGCUGUCUCUUUUCUAUUUUUUGAACUUGCUGUUUUUGUGAAGAAGCAAGGGUAGCACAAAAAGACAAGAAGACCCUUUUAAGCUUUACUUUUUUUAUAUAAUCUUUUUCUUUGUUUUAGUGGAAAGUAUAAUUUUUUGUUUAGAGAAGUUUGGUUGGGGCGACCAAAGAAGAUUAAAUCUUCUUUUAUUAAAAAAACUCUUUGUUUUUCUUGACCCGGAAUUUUCCGUUUAAAAGAACUAGUUACUAAAGGGAUAACAGCGUAAUCUUUUCAGAAAGUUCAUAUUAAAGAAAAGGGUUGCGACCUCGAUGUUGACUUGCUUUUUCCUUUUAAGGUGCAGAAGCCAAUAGGGUUGGUCUGUUCGACCAUUAAAAAAGC